rnacentral:rRNA from 1 species
UAGGGAAUAUUGCAAAAUGGGCGAAAGCCCGAUGCAGCAACGCCGCGUGGGCGAUGAAGGCCUUCGGGUCGUAAAGCCCUUUUUGAGGGGAUGAGGAAGGACAGUACCCUCAGAAUAAGCCUCGGCUAACUACGUGCCAGCAGCCGCGGUAAAACGUAGGAGGCGAGCGUUAUCCGGAUUUACUGGGCGUAAAGCGCGUGCAGGCGGAUUGGAGAGUUGGAUGUGAAAGCUCCCGGCUUAACUGGGAGAGGUCGUUCAAUACUUCCAGUCUUGAGUGCAGUAGAGGGAAGGGGAAUUCCGGGUGUAGUGGUGAAAUGCGUAGAUAUCCGGAGGAACACCAGUGGCGAAAGCGGCUUCCUGGACUGUAACUGACGCUCAGACGCGAAAGCUAGGGUAGCAAACG